rnacentral:lncRNA from 1 species
AAAGAAUCCUCCUUGAAGAAACCACCUCUCCAGCACCAGGUUUCUUAGGUCGAAAGUAGGCAUUUACUGGUUGCACAACACCCAACAAUAUUGCCAGCAUUCCAAGCUUGACAUGUAAUGAGUGGAGGAACAGACCUCGAAGCUCGGCUACAGCAAAAAGAAAACCAAGGAAAACGAUUGAUAAUCCUGAGUAUUGCAAGUAUACGUGAAGUUGAAACCACCCAUCACCUUUGACAUGCUUUAAGUAUCUUGCAGCUAGAGUACCACCAGGAAGCAGUAUACCCCACGCAAGAAACAUCAUAAAACCAUGUACAGCUAAUACUGGCCGCAAGUCCUCCUCUGCCUCAGCAGAACCACGCAUAAGCAACACGUGAACAGGCCUCUUGCUUGUGACAGAGUGCAUAUUUGUUACGCUCAAGUGGUUGUCUGAC